rnacentral:piRNA from 1 species
GGCCUUUUCUUACCCAAAA